rnacentral:rRNA from 1 species
AGCAGCCGCGGUAAUUCCAGCUCCAAUAGCGUAUAUUAAAGUUGCUGCAGUUAAAAAGCUCGUAGUUGAAUUUCGGGACUAAUAUGUUGGUCGUGCCUCGGUACGUACUGAUAUUUUUGGUUUCUCCCUUCUGACGAACCUUGAUGUCAUUAAUUUGGUGUCUUGGGAAAUCAGGACUGUUACUUUGAAAAAAUUAGAGUGUUUAAAGCAGGCUCACGCUUGAAUACAUUAGCAUGGAAUAAUGAAAUAGGACGUUUGAUUCUAUUUUGUUGGUUUCUAGGAUUGACGUAAUGAUUAAUAGGGAUAGUUGGGGGCAUUAGUAUUCAAUUGUCAGAGGUGAAAUUCUUGGAUUUAUUGAAGACUAACUACUGCGAAAGCAUUUUGCCAAGGAUGUUUUCAUUAAUCAAGAACGAAAGUUAGGGGAUCGAAGACGAUCAGAUACCGUCGUAGUCUUAACCAUAAACUAUGCCGACUAGGGAUCGGGUGAUGUUAAUUUUUUGAAUGACUCAUUCGGCGCCUU